AGUGAACGCUGGCGGUAGGCCUAACACAUGCAAGUCGAACGGCAGCACAGUAAGAGCUUGCUCUUACGGGUGGCGAGUGGCGGACGGGUGAGGAAUACAUCGGAAUCUACUUUUUCGUGGGGGAUAACGUAGGGAAACUUACGCUAAUACCGCAUACGACCUACGGGUGAAAGCAGGGGAUCUUCGGACCUUGCGCGAUUGAAUGAGCCGAUGUCGGAUUAGCUAGUUGGCGGGGUAAAGGCCCACCAAGGCGACGAUCCGUAGCUGGUCUGAGAGGAUGAUCAGCCACACUGGAACUGAGACACGGUCCAGACUCCUACGGGAGGCAGCAGUGGGGAAUAUUGGACAAUGGGCGGAAGCCUGACCCAGCCAUACCGCGUGGGUGAAGAAGGCCUUCGGGUUGUAAAGCCCUUUUGUUGGGAAAGAAAAGCAGUAGGUUAAUACCCCGCUGUUCUGACGGUAACCAAAGAAUAAGCACCGGCUAACUUCGUG
rnacentral:rRNA from 1 species